UCUAGGCCACAAAGGCUAACGUGGCCGACGUGGAGUUCCAAGCCGCUGAAGAGGGAGAAACGCUGACGCGGACGACAUUUUACGACACUUCGUAAGGCGAGAAAAGUUAGUGGUAAGAAGGUUUCUGCAGAGUGAUGGGCGUUCCCCGGAAGCCCAAAUGGAAACCAACAAACCGGUUGUGUCCUUGAGGCAGGAGGUAGAUGCCCCGCCCCCGCACAAGUCAAGGAGAUCGUCCCAACUAGAAAGCUCCUUGGUGGUCAAAGGGAGAGUGAUGCCAAGCUACCAGUAGGAAUCCAUCCCGGCUGAGAACUGCAUGUGCACAUGGGAGGACCCUGAGGCAAAAUGAAUACGGACUCAGAACCAGGCAAAUCAAAAUGACUGGCCAAAGGAAACCGGGAAGAGAUGCCCGUUGUGAGUGAUUUAAACUACCACCAGGACGCGGCUAUCUUUCUGAGUCCUCCCCUGUGUCUGUCUACACAUACUGUACUCUUUUCCUCCUAAUAAACACUUGACUUGUUUCACUGCU